CAAUCAAAUACUAGGGUUAAAAUUAUCCCAACUGUUAUCCUUCCCUUCGAACCCACACCAAACAUAGCCUAAGACAAAAACCUCUUACGCGAUCUGAUGGGAAGCGUGGGCGUGGAAGGUACGAGCGAGACAGUGAAGAAUGAGUAAGGGAAGAUGAUACAGAGUCGUUGAGGAUGUCAUCGUCAGUGCGGAGAGGGAUGGAUUUGAGAACAAGGCGGUCGUGGUCCUCAUCGCCGCUGGUGCUAGAGGUGAUUGGCGUUCUCAUUGCCACUUCGCCACUGAUGCUAGAGGAAGUCGUCAUCCUCGUUAAUGUAAUUUUGUAAAAAAAACCCUAACCCACUUUCGUUUCCCCCUCCUCUCUCUCUGCGCAAUGCCGCCAGUCCACCCGCCUUCUCUCUCAAUUUCACCACCGCCGCGUCCUCAGCCACAUUCUCUCUCAAUAUCGCCGUCCCGACCUCAUCACCGCUGUGAACUUGCUGUCGCCUCACUUGCAGACAGCGCGUGUCUCCAUCUCCGAUGCCGUGCUCAUUGUCGCUUGUUCCAAACGCUUCUUCCAUCUGUUGGGUGGGGAUUGUUGCAGCACGGCGACUGUGAGACGGUGACUGCGGGAAAGCCAUCGGCGUUAGCAAAGGGGAGGUGCCGACGUGGAGCUGCAAGAUAUCCUAAUGAAUCUUCGGAGUGAUUUCUGUACUCGACAAGUACAACAGAGGAAUAGGCAAGAAUCGUAGCACUGAAUUCAUCAUAUAUCCUCACUGCAAGUUAAUAAGGAAAUGAUGGCAGAUGUUUAUAGGAGUGUGAACGGAACUUCCGGCUCGAGAGACCCCUUAACCGGCUAACUCACUAUUGACUAACUCACUUAGGAAAGCUGGAAGCACAGAGUGGGACUAAUCGGCAGCGGUCUAACUAAACCGCUGCAGGAGCCUCUUUAUUCCUGCCUUUUUCUCUAGCCACCGCUGACCAACACUCAAACUAUUUUAUUAGUUUUCCCCCACUUACCCCAAGUACUCUUCCGUGAAACUUAUCUUUCCUGCACUACACCCGUCUCUCUCCCGUCUCUCUCUCACUACACACAAAGCUAUUUAAGCCCAAAAAGAAUAAUCAUCUAUCUCUUAGAAUGUCUGUCUGACUCUGUCUUCUCUCAUAGAUUACUCUUAUUUCUUUCUAGCAGCCAUUCUCUCUCUUCUCUCACUUCAUAGCAAGAAUAGAAUUUUCAUUGAAAUACAUAGUCCUGUAACUGGAAAAUCAAUAUCAACUCUUCAUUUCUCUCUCUACAUAUAAACAUAUUAUACAUAUAUAAAUAUGUGUAUUAGAGAUCAAUUGUCAACAUGUACCGAACUCUGUUUCUCUCUCUAUCUCUCUCUCUUUAAAAUAUAUUUGCCAUACCUGUGCUUUUAAGGGCUAAAAUUAAUCAAUGCAUGUAGUCGAUUAUGAAGCAUAAGCAGCUAUGGGAGCUUGGAUUGGAAUCUAAAGCAGCUGUUGAAGCUCAACUAUGUUUGAUUGGGGUUCAACUAUUGAAGUUUUCAUCAAUGGAUGUGUUCAAUUUGUGCCGACUGAUAUCCUGCAGGCAAUAAGUGCUAUUAGCGAGAUAAACAUGAUGAGUUCAAUGGAGGAGUCAAAUUGGGCAUCCCUGCCAAAGAACUUAUCGGAUAUGAUUCUGGACAAGUUGGUUUCAUUUCUGAAUAUGUUCGAUUUGGUGUGGUUUGCAAACCAUGGCAGUGUGUGGCAAUUGACAACAAACUUAAAUUCAUUCAAAAUAAGUUUUUUAGACUAGUUCCAUUCUUGAUGGUGCCUUGGAAAGAUGAUACCGACAAAAGACGUAGUCUAUAUAGCAUCACUCAUAAUGAGCUAUAUGAUUUUCAUUUACGGGUGCCUUACAAAAAGAGGCUUUCUGGUUCCUUACAUGGUUGGCUGUUUACUGUGGAAGAAUCCUUGGGCGUAACUCUAAUGAAUCCUUUUUAUUGGCGCCACCAUUGAGCUUCCUCCAAUAAUGGACUGCUUAGAAUUUGAACCUCCUCAUGAAAAUGGCGGUGAUAGUGAUGGUGAGAUCUUAUACGAGAUUGACGCAGUUCCUCCGAAGGUUGAGCUUGAAGUUGCAAAGACUAUAUUGCUAGUUGACCCUACUUCGUAUCCUAAUGACUAUAUUGUUACCGCCAUCUAUGGUUGUCGUUCUAACCUGGCAUUUAUUUGGGCAGGAGAUGAAGCUUGGACUUACAUUAGAUAAAAAGAGAUUUCAGGUUUUCAAGUUACUCUUAGAGCAAUUUGAGCAAGGUUGGCCUAUGCGGGUUGAAGUGAACAACUUGGGCGGAGACACCACCCUGUUUUGGGGAGAUAACCAUUCCAUUUGUGUUUCAACUUCCAAAUGGCCCGGAUGUCAGGCAAAUUCAAUAUUCUACACAGAAGAUUAUAAUAUCAUUGUAUACUAUCCCGCAUCUGGGUGCCGCAACAUUGGUAUCUUCAACAUAGAGAAUGAAAGCAUUGGGACCCAUUACAUCCUUGAUCCUUCACAUAACCAUAUGCCACCCUCAAUUCGGAUUGUGCCAACUGUUUUAGGAAAAUGAGUAUAGACUUAAUUUGUUUUUGGAUUGUCUUUUAGUCAAAUCUAUUUUAAUUUAGUUUUUUUUUGCUUAUCAUUUUGUGAUAAAGUAAUCUAUUUUUAUCUCUUGUUUUUUCAAAAUGUGAGAUCAAGCUUGCAAGACCUUUAAUUAAAUAUUAUUGUGGUUGUUUCUCAUUUCUUUAUUUGUAUUAUAAAUAUUUCCUGAGCUAGAAUAUAUAUAUAUAUAUAUUUCUCUUCUAUUCUUUUCUUUAGACUACAUUUUUCUUAUAUUUGAUCUGCUUGGUUGCAGCCAAGUAGCCUUGCUUGCUAGUUACGUGGUAUGGCAAUUUCUUGAGGUUGCCAGAGUAUAAUUAAGUAUAGUCAAAUGUGGAUUCCUUUUCAUGUACUAAAGAAUUGGAUGACAUUCAUGAAGGAAGCCUAUGCAGUUGUUUGAAUUUUUUAUUUUUUAAAUUCCCUGACAUGUCUUGAUUUACUCUUGAGGGCUCGAUCAUAAAAAUGGAUCUGAGUUUGGUUGAAUGUAAAUAUAUUGUUGAUGAAUGAAUAGCUUAUUAUUGAGCUACUUGGUUAACGAGUAGUCGUCUUCACUUAUGAUGCCAAAACUGAUCAGCAGCAGAUAAUUUGAUUGAUUCCCCUGUAUAGGUUUUUAUUUGUAUAUCUGUCACAGUAGUUCUUUAAAGCAUGUGAAGAUUAAAAUGCUUUGCCAAAUUUAUAUAUAUAUUCUUUAGAUUUGGGUUGCUGGUUUAGAUGAUUAGAUCUAAUUUCAGUGCACAACUUGGUACUUCUGAUAUCAUUCUGUUAAUGGUGAAAGCUGCCGAGGCCAAAACCGAACGACUUGUUUAACACAUGUUUAGUGGUUUUUGAAGCUGUAGCUUCAGUAAUCAAAUUUUUUUUUUUUUUUUUU